rnacentral:lncRNA from 1 species
GUUCCGGCUUCUUGUUUUCCAGAUGCUAUGCGCAGACCACGCAGUGACCCAUUCGUCCUUGGUCUGCGAGAGACACAGAGCAGCUGGGCUCAGCGUCUCCAGCCUCAUCGCUCACCACCUCUUCCAACCCCGGGCUCUGGUCAGAUUCGUCAUCGUGGCCUAGAUUCAAUCAUGUCCCCUCAGAGAAGCUGCCCCACGCACAGGGCCUCCAGAGCCAGCUGCCUGAAGGCAGGACCCUUCCCGACUGUCCUGUCCAGAGGAUCCCCCACAAAGAUGGCCCCCUGGCAGAGAUUUCCAGAUGCCUCAUACAAGUUGAUUCCGUAUAAUCGAGUCAAGAACUUCAUGACAGUGACUCAGCAUUUAAAUCUCCUGAAGGCAGAUAUGCCACCCGAAGACAGAGAGUUACCGAACUCUGAUUUUGCCAUAGUUUGCGUACAGGCGAAACAGAAAAGAAGAGCUGACGACAUGUUUCCUGUGUGA